CAAGAGAGAAUGUAUUAUUUUUAUUUUUUAAAAAGUGGUUCAGUAGUUGUUGAACCUUGGAUUAAAUGAUUGUCCACUUGAAUAUAAAUUAUUUAUAAUAUAUCAGGCAAUAAAUUAAACAAUUUAUUUAUUGUUUAUAUUUUUUUUUGUGAAAAGAGAGAGAGAGCAAAGCUUUGACUGUUUGGGGUGCGGUGGCGAACAAUAUUAAAAACAAAAACACAAAAUUAUUUGAGGUUGGAAUUGGUUUUUUUCUUGUUGAUAUCUAUCAUUGAUUUUAUAACAAUCACAAAGUUAAUUGUCAUUUAAUUAUUGUUAAUUAGUUUACAUUUAAUUUAUCAAAAAUGCUUGAUCCAAGAUCAUUGCGUGGUCCACGUUUAAGAAAUAAAUCAAUGCAAUAUGUAGUUUGUGGAUUUCUUGGACUUCUUGGUAUUGCAUUAUAUCAAACAAUAAUUUCACCAUUUAACAAUCCAGAACCUUGGCUUAAAAUCAGAGAGAAGACAUCAAGCCAAAUACCUGCUGAUAAAAGAGUUGAAUAAAAAUACACAAGUCAAAUUAAAAUGAAUUAUAAAUAAUAAAAUUAAUAAAUAUUACGUUA